rnacentral:rRNA from 2 species
GUGGGGAAUCUUGCGCAAUGGGCGAAAGCCUGACGCAGCCAUGCCGCGUGAAUGAUGAAGGUCUUAGGAUUGUAAAAUUCUUUCACCGGGGACGAUAAUGACGGUACCCGGAGAAGAAGCCCCGGCUAACUUCGUGCCAGCAGCCGCGGUAAUACGAAGGGGGCUAGCGUUGCUCGGAAUUACUGGGCGUAAAGGGCGCGUAGGCGGAUCGUUAAGUCAGAGGUGAAAUCCCAGGGCUCAACCCUGGAACUGCCUUUGAUACUGGCGAUCUUGAGUAUGAGAGAGGUAUGUGGAACUCCGAGUGUAGAGGUGAAAUUCGUAGAUAUUCGGAAGAACACCAGUGGCGAAGGCGACAUACUGGCUCAUUACUGACGCUGAGGCGCGAAAGCGUGGGGAGCAAACAGG